GAUGAAGAACGUAGCGAAAUGCGAUACGUAAUGUGAAUUGCAGAAUUCAGUGAAUCAUCGAAUCUUUGAACGCAUAUUGCGCUCUCUGGUAUUCCGGAGAGCAUGCUUGUUUGAGUAUCAGUAAACACCUCAACUUCCAUAUCUUUUUUGAAAUGGGAGUUGGACUUGAGUGAUCCCAACGCUUUUCCUCACCGAAAAGUGGCGGGUUACUUGAAAUGCAGGUGCAGCUGGACUUUUCUCUGAGCUAUAAGCAUAUCUAUUUAGUCUGCCUAAAAAACAGAUUAUUACCUUUGCUGCAGCUAACAUAAAGGAGAUUAGUUCUUGUGCUGACUGAUGCAGGAUUCACAAAGACGGCUUCGGCAGACUUUGUAAACUCGAUCUCAAAUCAAGUAAGACUACCCGCUGAACUUAAGCAUAUCAAUAAGCGGAGGA
rnacentral:misc_RNA from 1 species